UUGGCCGUGAGCGAGAAUCGAACUCGGGUCGCCGGCUUCGUAGUGCAGCGCGCUAACGACUACACUACCGCUCCCGACCCAACUUUCCUUUCACGUACACAAAAAAAGACAAAGAUCCCCCUAUAGCCUUAACAGACUGUUGGGGCAAGUGCUGUUAGCGAGCAGCACAUCUGAAGGACCGAAUGGCACACGAGGAGGUGGGUGGCCAGCACCACGCCCGGCCACCUUUGUCUCCCCAGUGGAGUUGUUUACACACCGCACCAGGUAGGCAUUUCAGACUAAGUAGACCUAGGUGCUCGGGGAUAAUCGACACAGCUGUUAAGGGACAUUCACAUGCACACAGACUAAGAUCCCUCACAUAGCUUUAACAGACUAUUGGGGCGAGUGCAGCUAGCGAGCAACAAUGAAGGCCGACACGGCACACAAGAGGGUGGGUGGCCAGCACCACGGCGGACCGCCUUUGUCUCCCAAAUGGCGAUGUUUACUGGUACUCAUUUUAGGCCGAGUCUUAAGUGCUAGUGUUCGUAAGUCAGGUGUUCCUAAGUCGGGUGUUCGUAAGUCGAGGGCUUCCUGUAAUUUUCAUUUCACAGGUCCAGCUGAUUUUAACCAGAAACCGAUAACCUAUGGCACUGGUAAUGACCUAUAACAACUGCAUAUAGCCUCUAAACUAGAUUAAAGAAACAUCUGUGGUUCAUGUGGUGGAUGGAGCUGAACAGGGCCAACUGGUGGAGGGGCGAGGCCAAGGGAAGGAGUGGGGACAGCCUCUGGAGAGAGAGGCAACAAGGGAGACACGUGUGUGAGUUAUGGCACAGAUUAUGAAUCGGCUCACAUAAGCCGGUGUGUUUUCGCAGCAUUAAUUUGAGUAGUUCUCAACGUACAGAGUCGAAAGAUAACUCAUUUUGACCGUAUUAAUCCAGCUGGCUGUGGUAUUAAAUGUGAACUUUGUACGACGUAUGAAUUUUAUCUCAGAUUAAAAAAUAUAUAAUCCAGUGCGUGACACAGGUAGGGUGUUUGAUGGCAAUCUGAAACACCCACCAUAAUCAUCCAUGGGGGUCUUUGGAAUUGCACAUUGCCUAUGUUAUGACUCUUGACCGAGAUAAAAAAAACAAGUCACGUGCUGCAGUGCAAUGACUACUCAGCGACAAUUCGUAAAUAACAAACUGUGGGCUUAAAAGUCUUUAUUUUUUAAUAUGCGACAUUUGGUCAAUUGCUCUUCUUCAUAGCACGUGAAGCCAACACGUGCGUCAACAACAUUGCCGCAGCACCCCCUGCUGGACUAAACACGCUACUGUGCCGCGGAGACUACGCAUCAGACGGCCACAAGCGAGUGGUGUCAAGUGUGAUCAUGAUGAUUAUUAUGAGGCUUGUUUACCCAGGAAAGCCUCACUGCAGGCGCGACACGUCCAUGUAGGCUAUCUAGGCGGUCGUCUAGGGCGUAAAGUUAAGUGGGGUGCCAAAUUCGAGGAAAAAAUAAUUUCUCAACAUUUCUGACGAUUGAUUGGACAGACGGACGGACAACCCGAAUAAUUAUGCCUCUUUAAAAAAAACAUUAAACGUAAAAUAGGGAAACAUGUUUCCCAGUUUACCAAAAAACUCAGCCUCGAUCUGCCCCUGGGGUUUGGGGGCGCCGAUUGCUGGCAGCAGCGGGUCCAGGGCCGCCGCUGCCUCACUGAGUGAGCCUCGUGGCUCUUUUUCAGGAGGGUCCUGCCAGUUUUCACAGUAGGGGGUGGCUAUGUAUAAUCUCAAUUGAGUAAUGUGUACUUUAUAUCAGAAUCUAUUACAGUACACUAUACCAUUUUGCGUGAAAACUCGGGCCCAUUAUCUUGAAGUUAUCGGGGGUGGGGCGUCUUUGCUUAUUAGCAUCUUUAGUAUCUUGCGAUUCACCAACGUUGGUUGGGGCAAGCCUGACUGCUGAUGAAACACUGAAUGUCGAAGCGAGCUCAUAGCUUGCUUUGUCUUGAACUAAUGCUGCUGACAUUAUGCACUCCAAGAAGACCGUGGGGCUGAUGGGAUGAAAAAAAAACAUUGAUUUUGUUGUUUUAUGCGAUGAGACAGAUACAGGAUUGUGAAUGAGAUGUGUUUUUUGUCAAUGUUAUGGACGAAUUGGUGAGAAUGGUGUGAGUUUGUGUGCGAGUGAAUGGCAAAUGCCUGGAGUGUGUGGUUCGGAUCAGGUGAGUGGUGCGUGGUGGUUGAUGAGUAUAUCAUGUGUGUGCCAGGUGAAUGAUAUCUGGUGAGUGGUGAGUGCCCGCAUGGUGAGCGGUGUCUGGCGAUGGGUCAGUUGUCAUGCAUGUGAGGUCACGCCACCUUAUCCGUCCUCUAGUGUGUGUGUCAAUAA